UACGUAGGUGGCAAGCGUUAUCCGGAAUUAUUGGGCGUAAAGAGCGCGCAGGUGGUUGAUUAAGUCUGAUGUGAAAGCCCACGGCUUAACCGUGGAGGGUCAUUGGAAACUGGUCGACUUGAGUGCAGAAGAGGGAAGUGGAAUUCCAUGUGUAGCGGUGAAAUGCGUAGAGAUAUGGAGGAACACCAGUGGCGAAGACGGCUUCCUGGUCUGUAACUGACACUGAGGCGCGAAAGCGUGGGGAGCAAACAGGAUUAGAUA
rnacentral:rRNA from 1 species